rnacentral:piRNA from 1 species
GAGCUUGGUGUCACAAGUUGUGCAGGCAAU